rnacentral:lncRNA from 1 species
CCUGGCAGCACAAAGAACCCAGAAAAAGUGGAUCUGCCUGGUCCCCAGGCAGAGGGACAUUUCAGGUUGGAACUGCAUCCUCAAGGCUUACCCUCAUCAAAUAGCACUUUCCAGAGAUUCCCCCUAACAUCACUACAAAACUGAAGGAUUUUUAUGCCUCCCUAAGUGCUCAGAAUCACAUAGUCCUGGUUGUCAGAAACCUGUCCUUUUCCUCCUGAAUUCCCUUAUUGUAAAGCUAUACCUGGACUUUAGGUGACCUCCUGGCGCUGUCCUUUGGACUCUGCAGAGCUGUAAAAUCCUCACCCCCUCCCUUUUGCUUGGAUAACCAAGCCAGCAUCUCCCAGUUCCUUCAGAUCACUUGGCCCUUCCUUUCCCUGGGGCUCUGCGGGCUGCUGAGCACCAUCCAGGUGGGAAACCUGACCCCUGGAGCCUCCCUCUGCCCUGGAAUUAGGGGGCAGCUGGGUGCUGGGAAACCACCUCUGAGAAAAAGGCUGAAAAACAAACAAAACCCUGCGAGAGCCAAGGAAAACUGGAACAAAUCUGAGACCUAAACCCAGCCGACACUUUGACUUUUUUUUUAUCUCCCCAGUGGUGUAAGGACUAUAAAAAACAACAUUUCCCAUAUGGAAAAAGGAGCUGCAGUAAACUGAAAAGUUUACAAAAUGAAAAAAACAGGAGAAGCAGUGAGAGAGAGCUGUGGCCACCACAGAGCUGGAAACUUGGAGCACAAGGCCUGAAACAACGUCCCCUUGCAGGAAGCAUGUGGAAUUUGGAGAAGACCACCACAAGCACAAGCCUAAUACCCUAAUAUAGCUCAUGUUUUAUACAUACAUAUAUAUAUAUACACACAUAUAUAUAUAUCUUUGAGAGCAAUGUUUUAACCUUGGAAGAAAUGCCAUGUUUUGUUCCUUGGUGGCUUAGGUGAGGGAACUUUAGCAAGAGUGAAGGGGCUUGUUCUUGACUCUGACUCAUUAAACUGAGAUUGAGUUGGUCCUUCCAAGGCUUGGCCUUAACCUGAGAGAGGACUCCUCCACAAGUCAUAGUCACCCACCACCCAGUGCCAUGAUCUGUAGGUUCUGGUGUCCUGGGGUUUAUGAUUACUGGAGUUUUUCCGUUGUUGAAUGCUUCUGAAGCUACAGCUCCAUUUUAUAUUUAGUUAAUGGAAACCAACUGGAAAUACUCCCCUUGACUCCCAAGGGCCACGCCUCAAAACAUAACGUAUUAAUGGAAUAAACCACCCUGUUAAAUCA